AGCGGAUCCCGCAGCGGCUGCAGCUCGAGUUUGCGGUUUGAAUGGUGGCAGACGGACAGACGGAGGGCCGCGUCGAGCUGCUGUUAAUGUGAUCCUCCGGAACGACUCAUUAGCACGAUGGAACUGGGCGAGCGCUUUCGGAGGACAGCUUUUGUACAAACACAACCCUGCUGCGGUCAGGAUUAGAAGAAGACGCUCUCUCGUGUUUACUCGAGCGGACAUUGCGUGUGAAAGCGGUGACAGCGUCCUCCCACCCUGCGUUUAUAUAAUGGAAGAUCGCAUACAGUGGGAAAAUGAUGCGUGCUAGUGCAUAUGCGGUACCACAGUGAGCUGGAAACGCGUCUGUUCUGGAGAAUCUGACUUUUGUUAUUUCUCGCCUGUGUUACUGUGAAACUGAAGCAAUGGCGAGGCACACGGCACUCGGGGCUAACGUUAGAGCCGUUUGCCCUGCUUUUAACAGCUAGCCUUCCGUGUUUGGGUAACUAACCAGCUGUGGUGGGACUAGCUGCGGCAAGGCGAGCUCCGCGCAGGUGCUGUCGGCUACACAGUGAAGCUGGCGGCGCUCCGGUUAGAGUCGGAGGAGAAGGAUCUGGGCGCCAUGGCGUGGGUGCUGAAGAUGGACGAUGCUACCAUCGAGUCUGGGCUCGUGCACGACUUCGAUGCCAGUUUGUCGGGCAUCGGGCAGGAGCUCGGGGCGGGCGCGUACAGCAUGAGUGAUGUGUUGGCUCUGCCCAUCUUUAAGCAGGAAGAUGUGAGCGUUCCUGUGGAGUCCGACACCAAGAAUCCUCCGUUUCAGUAUGUGAUGUGCGCCGCCACCUCACCAGCUGUUAAACUGCACGAGGAGACGCUCACCUACCUGAACCAAGGCCAGUCUUAUGAAAUCCGGAUGCUUGAUAACAGGAAAAAAGGGGAGAUGCCUGAACUCAACAAGAUUGUGAAGAGUAUAGUUAGGGUGGUUUUCCACGACCGAAGGCUUCAGUACAUGGAGCACCAGCAGCUGGAGGGCUGGAAGUGGAAUCGGCCUGGCGAUCGCCUCCUUGAUAUCGAUAUCCCCAUGUCAGUGGGCAUCACUGAGGCUCAAGCUCAUCCUUCACAGCUCAACGCUGCAGAGUUUCUGUGGGAUCUCUCCAAACGGGCCUCUGUGUUUGUGCAGGUUCAUUGCAUCAGUACAGAGUUCACUCCGCGGAAACACGGCGGAGAGAAAGGAGUUCCGUUCCGGAUCCAGAUCGACACCUUCAAACAGGAUGAAAGCGGAGAGUACAUUGAACACCUGCACUCCGCCAGCUGCCAGAUCAAAGUCUUCAAGCCAAAGGGAGCAGACAGAAAACAGAAAACAGACCGGGAGAAGAUGGAGAAGAGGACUCCGCAGGAGAAAGAGAAAUAUCAGCCCUCUUAUGAUACCACUAUACUGUCAGAGACUCGAUUGGAGCCUGUUAUGGAGGAGGUAGUGGAACUCGAGCUGAAGAAGUCCAGCAAGCGGACACUUCCUGCAGACUGUGGAGAUUCCAUCGCCAAAAGCAAGAGAGGAAGUUGCUCUCCAUGGCCAGAUAAUGCAUAUGUCAACCCCAUUACAGCAGCCACACCGACCUUCACCUCCACCACAAACACCUACAGCUCCAGCAGCACAGUACCAGACAGUGAGUCGUCUUCACCAAACCACCAAGGAGAUCUUGGUAACCUCACGGUUGUGGAGUCUCUCAGUCCUACGGCCUCCAUACAGGACACACAGAAGUGGCUCCUUAAGAACAGAUUCAACUCCUACAGUCGUGUUUUCGCCCAUUUCUCAGGUUCUGAUCUACUGAAAUUAACUCGUGAAGAUUUAGUCCAAAUUUGUGGUGCUGCCGAUGGAAUUAGACUCUACAAUGCACUUAAGUCCAGAGCAGUGCGGCCCAGACUCACACUUUAUGUGUCUCUGGAAGCGUCUCAGAGCGAGAGCCCUCUGCUGGAGAAACGGGGACGCAGCAAGAACGGAGAACACAGCAGCCCAGCAGCCAUACCUGUUUAUCACGCUCUUUACCUUGAAGAGAUGACGGCUUGUGAGCUCACCAGGAAGAUCUCCAGUGUUCUAGCGCUGCCACUUACCCACAUCAGUCAAGUGUACAAACAGGGGCCGACAGGGAUACACAUACUGCUCAGUGACCAGGUGAGGGACAUCAUGUGACUGAUUUGUCUAGUGAAUGUAGUAUUCAUGUACUGCUGGAACAGAAUGUGUUGAUCAGAAGUGACAUGGUUUAUAACUUCCUUGAUGAGAGCAGUUUCAUCAUUAGCAUAAUACAAGACGACAGCAAUGAUGGAUUUCACCUGGUCCUGAAGUAGACGAGCAGAGACUGUGACGCCAUCACUGCCGCACCAAAAGUGUUCCCUCCAUCCUCCUCUCUCGUCCUCUCCCCAAUCUCUCCCUCGUUCUUCACGUCUCGGUGUGAGAUGGAGAAAAAUGGCCGGGGUCGAGCAGGGCCUCCUAACUGUUAGAAUCUGACUUCAGUGCGUAAAAUUGUUUCAUAUUGAAAACACUUAAACUGAUGCCAGUGUGUGAGCGAGCGGCGGGCUUUUAAUUAAGUGCGUUUUUAAAGGAGGGAUGGAGGCGAGCGGGAGUCCGCAAGAACAUGGAGAACUGUGACCACUUUUACUUCAGCAUGGUGAAGAAUCGAUUGUCUUUGCGACUCUGAGCGUACAGUACUUGAGUUUGUUCGUCUGUGAGUUGUCAACCAUUUCUGGCCUACAGACGCCAUCAAAAAAAACCCCAAGGUAGAUAGUAAUGACCUCUCGUGCAAAAUGUGGGGAAAUGCGUCCUGACUAAAGGCAUGCGCAGGACGUCUUUAUGUCUGUCUGGAUGAAAUAAUUCCUGGGAUUUUGAGUAUGGUGACCUGCAGCUAACGCCAGGUUCAGUUUUGCUCUCAGUGCUGAUAUUGUUUGUUUUUUUUUGGGGGGUGGGGGGAGGUCACACUUUACAAUAAAGUUCUAUUAGUUAAUGAAUUUAUUAGCAUGAACAAACAAUGAGCUAUACUAUUAUUACAGUAUUAGUUCGUUGUUAAUGUUGGUUAUUGAAAAUACAGUCAUUCGUUGUUAGUUUUUGUUAGCUCACAGUGCAUUUUGGAUUUUAAUAAUUCAUUAUUAAGUGUAAAAUAAAACCCAAAUAUUAAUAUUCUGUGAUUAAUUCGUUAUUAUUAAGCCCCUGAGACCUUUGAACAUAAAUUAAGAUAUCUUGAAUGAAACCUGGGAGCUCUCUGACCCUCCAUAGAAACAAGGGUCCCGAGAUGUUUAAAAUUCAGAAAGGUCCCAAAAACACCCUCAAUACAGGACCAUGUGUCUUUAGUGGUUCAAUCGUAAUGCUAUAAAGCUAUGAGAAUACUUUUGUGCACACUACAGUCCAGAAAGGAACCAAAAACAUCCUCAAAACAGGAUCAUGUGUCUGUAGUGAUUCAAUUGUAAUGCUAUGAAGCUACAAGAAUACUUUUGGCCACACACAAACUAACAAAACACAAAAAUAAUGAAUUUAUUAUUUAACAAUUUCCUCUCUUCAGGGUAGAGUUGUCAAAAGUAUUAACGUUGCAAUCAAUAUUGAAAAUGAAAGUAAAACCUCAAUCUUGCGCUAACAUUUGAGCACUGUAGAGUUUUAACACUGCUGAUUGGCCAUUGUGUUCACAUGCUCCACAAAUAAGGCUGUGAUUGGCUCUGAAGUUCAUCACUUCACCACUCUUCACCAAGCGCAAACACAAAUACAUAAACUAAACAUUUUAAAUGAGUGUUUGAAAGCCACACCUAUCAGCUGAUCCAACUAUAUAUAUAUAUAUAUAUAUAUAUAUAUAUAUAUAUAUAUAUAUAUAUAUAUAUAUAUAUAUAUAUAUAUAUCCGAUAUAUAAAAAAAUAUGCUGAUGGAUUAGCUGAUAAACGUGGCUUUCAAACGCUCUAGUAUCCAUGUAUAUGUUUGCGCUUGAUGAAAAGUGGUGAAAUGAUGACCUUCAGAGUCUUUAUCUGUUAAGCAUGUGAACACGACAACCUAUCAGCGAUUUAAAGGGACGGUUCACAACUCUUCACCAAGCGCAAACACAGAUACACAGACUGAACCCUUUAAACGAGUGUUUGAAAGCUACGUCUGUCAGCUGAACCAUCUAUGAGUGGAUCUAUGAAUUAUACGCUAAUGGAUUAGCUGUUAAACGUAGCUUUGAAACACUCUAGUGUCCAUGCAUAUGUUUUGCACUUGAUGAAGUGAUGGUGAAGUGAUGACCUUCAGAGCCAAUCACAGUCAUAUCUGUUGAGAAUGUGAACACAAAAAACAAUCAGUGGUUUAAAGGGACAAUUCACCACUUUUCACCGAGUGUAAAACAUAUACAUAGACACUAGAGCAUUUGAAAGCCACGUUUAUCAGCUGAUCUGUCAGCGUAUUGGCUCAAAGACAGAUCAGCUGAUAGACGUGGCUUCCAAACAUUUAGGGUGAGUAAAUAGUGAGAUUACCCUCUCUGUAUUCACUUUUGGGUGAACUAUCCUUUAAAGAAUGUGCUUAAAUAUAAGUGAGAAAUGUAUCGAUUUGUACGUUAAUAAGAAGAAACCGUUGAAUGAAGUUAUUAUUUUAUUGUUUUUAUGCACACAGAAGUAUUCUUGUAGCUUUAUAUCAUUACAGUUGAACCACUGAAGGUCACAAUUUUGAGGAUAUUUUUGGUUCCUUUCUGUACUUUACACAUCUUGGGGGGCUGUCGUGAGGCUUAGAGAGCUCUUGGGUUUCAUCUGAAAUAUCCUGCGUUCUGAAGUUGGGGAUUGUAAUAACACGAGGGUCAAUAAAUAAAGAGAUGGUUCACAUAAAAACAAUUAACAUUUACUCACCCUCAAGUGGUUCCAAGCGUUUAUGAAGAUAUUUUAGAAGAAUGCUAGAAACCGGUAGCCAAUAACUUCCAUAGUAGGAAAAACAAAUACUAUGCAAGUCAAUGGUUAUCGGUUUUUGUGAUUGUUUUUGUGUUCAACAGUAAAAAGAAACCGUUUGUGACAAGAAAAGAGCGAAUAAAUGAUGACAAAAUAUUUGUAUUUUGGGUGAACUAUCCCUUUAAUAAUACAAUGGUAAUUUUGGUUGGGAACUUACCCUUUAACAAACAUAAACUAAUGGAACUCAAUUGUAAAGUGUGACCAUUUUAAUUUUCCAAUUUCUCUUUCAAGACCAAUCGUUUCUGGUGCCAUGGUUUCUUUGUCGUUGAUUAAAUGAAGCGUCAGCCAUUUAGAAUUCAAUGAUUAGUCUUUUGGUUUUUAGAUUGAUUGUUGAUCGUUGUGCUCCAUAUUCUCUGUGCCUGGCAUCUAUAUGUGACUGGUAGCUCCUGGCACAGAUUAUAACACAGUUAUUGUUGAAUAAACAAGCACAAUCGCAGGCCUCCGUAAAUGAUAUUUCCCUAUAAUGCCUUUCACAUCCUUUUAAUCGUACGUUUAGGAUAUGACUGGUGCUUUUCUCAUUGCACACAUGGUUUACCGUCAGCUGCUCCAGUUAUGCUCGACCAUCAUGACUGCGGUCAGACAGCUUUUUUCCCCCCGUCGUGGUCUUGAAUAGCGACUGAACUCAGUAGGUCGUCCAUCUCAGUAGUGAUGUAUUGGGCAGCUGUGCUUUGGCAUGUACUGUGCUUAUUAUUGCCACUUUAUAGAGGAGCAUGGUUGUGAUGAGAAUGUCAACUCCUUUUAAUGCUCAGAAAAUAUAUACGUUAAAAAAGGAAUGACCAAGUCUGCACUGAAACUGAAACCACAAUACAAAAAAUGUCACGCCGUUGGAUUCCUGGCAGUCGUCGGAUGCUCACUUUUAGACUUACACAAUGUUUCCAGGUUGAACAGAUGAUCAAAUAACGUGGAGGUUAGUUCUGCUCCUCAGAUUGAAUGCGGUGGAUCCUCUUGUUUCUGUUAUAAUAAUAAUAAUGAUGAUGAUGAUGGUUUCCUCAUGUCACUGUUUGUCUAAAGAAAAGCCUCUCUUCCAUAGGGAGUGCUGAGAUGUACACAAUUAAUGCCUGUACCAGAAAUAAAAGUAAUUUUCAUAUA